ensembl:antisense predicted gene 11789
CCGAGUAUCUCUCCUGUGCUGAGCUUGCCCUGCAGGUCUGCAUCCCGCGCACUCCUUUCCCCUCCCCUCUGGCACACAGGAGCAGGCCCUGACCCGAAUCCGACCCCACGGGUCCCUUCCGAGAACCCUCACCAGGUGUACCAUAACCCUGAGAAUCCAACCUUGCGCACCCUGGACUUCAGAGAGCCACGGGUGAAUUCUGACCUGGCAGGUACGUGAAAAGGCUAGAAGAAGACAUUGGAUUCCCUGGAGUGGUGUUAGUGCAGACUGUGAGCCUCCUGGCAAUGGUGCUGGAAACCAAACUUUGGUGCUCUGAAAGAUCAGGAAGUGGUCUUAAUGGCUGAUGUACAUCACAGGCUGGGGACCAAUGUCCAAGACUAUGUGGACCAUCUCAAACCACCUAUGUACUUAUAAUGACAGCACGCAGGCAGUGAGCCAGGGCCUCACAUGCUCGGCAAAUGCUCUACCCACUGGACAGCAUCCCCAGCUUGUUUUUGGAAACAAGUUUCAUUAAGUUGUCCAGCCUGACACUGAACUCAUUCUGUAGGUCUUUAAGUAAUAAGGGUACUUUGAAUU